rnacentral:snRNA from 1 species
AGGUCCAAGGUCCAUUUGUAGGAGAACGUAGGGUAGUCAAGCUUCCAAGACUCCAGACACAUCCAAGUGAGGCGCUGCACGUGGCAGUUUGCCUUCGUUU